GUGCAAAGUGAGGAAGGAACUGCACCAAGGCAGCCCUCGAGAUCUCUCAUUAUUGCUCCGAUUUAUCGCUGCUAUUAUUCAUUAAUUAAUUCCCUUUUUUAACCUCAACCCUGAGCGGACCGUUCUCAGAGAAAGAAACGUUUCGAUCCGUACCAGUAAUUUUAUUUUUCGCCCUUUUUGCGAGAAAAAAAGCGGGGAGAGGGUGCAGGGCGGCCCGGCGGGGCGGGGGGAGACGCCGGCAAAUCCAGAGCUCCGGCGGUCCCGGCGCGGAGCGGCCGCGGGGGGAGGCGGGACCCAGCGCCGCCCGCCAGGGGGGCGAGCCGCCCCACACAGGUGAUGGGCGUUUCGGCUGCGCUCCGGAUCGACUCCUUGGGUUUCACUUUGGUCUGAUCUAAGCAAAUAUGCAGAAGUACCGGCUGGUCUAGUCCUAAGAGCCAAGAGGAGCGAGCGAGAGCGGCAGAAAGGAGAGCGGCCGCGCUCCCGUUGGAGGGGAACGUACAAACAGCGGCAGCGCCGUAAUCCCAGCACCGCCGCCCCGAGGCAGCCCCGAGCCACCCUGGAUGCGGAGGACCCCCGAAGCCACCCCGCUGCCUUUCCCCUGAGGGAUGGUACUGAAUUUCUGCGCGGCAGGAGCCGGCCUGCAGCUCCUCUCCAUCAGCGUUGCCUUCCCUCCGUAUCUAAAGUGCACUAGACCGCGAUGAGGACCUGGGCUUGCGUUUUGCUGAUAGGUUUUGGCUACCUGUCCUUUACCUCCUGCGAGGAGGCCGAGAUCCCGCAGGAGCUGAUCGAGCGGCUGGCGCACAGCGAGAUCCACAGCAUCCGCGACUUGCAGCGCCUCCUGGAGAUUGACUCCGUAGGAUAUGAUGAUGUUUCAGAGACAAACUUGAGGUCUUACAGUGUUCAUUCUGCCAAACAUGCGCAAGAGAACCGUCCUGUGCCCAUUCGCAGAAAAAGAAGCAUUGAGGAAGCCAUCCCGGCUGUCUGCAAAACACGGACGGUGAUAUAUGAGAUACCUCGGAGUCAGAUUGAUCCCACCUCGGCCAACUUCCUGAUAUGGCCGCCGUGCGUGGAGGUGAAGCGCUGCACUGGCUGCUGCAACACCAGCAGUGUGAAAUGCCAGCCCUCACGGAUACAUCACAGAAGUGUCAAGGUGGCAAAAGUGGAAUAUGUUAGAAAAAAGCCAAAAUUAAAAGAAGUUCUGGUGAGAUUAGAAGAGCAUAUGGAAUGCACCUGUACAUCAACAAAUACUAAUUCAGAUUAUAGAGAAGAAGAAACUGGAAGGCCUAGGGAAUCAGGUAAAAAACGGAAACGAAAAAAGUUAAAACCAACAUAAAACCUACUGGAACUAUUUGAUAUUCAGGUAGGACUAUAUGCUGAACACCCUAAUAGCACAAGUACUGGAAAACUUAAUCAAAUACCAUCACUUCAACUUAAUCACUGUUCAAAAUCUUGACACUUGCUACCUCAAGGCUGCAAAGAGAUUAGAUUUGAUUGGCUUUGAUAAUUCUACCUGCUGGUAUUUUUCCUUUAAGCUCCACAUCACCAUCAGCAUCUUACAUUCUUGAGCUACUUCCUUUUCUUGCCUUUUUUUUUUUUUUUUUUCCAUUUUUAUUUUUUUUUGGAGGGUGCUAAUACUUCAGCUUCUGAAAUCUCAAGUUCCAUCACCUCUGCUUUUGUUUCAUUAUUAUUGAUUUCUGAGGUCAAACAUCACAUAAUAAUGCAUGAAUGAAUUGCCAGGUUACAAAUUGUUGCGUUCCCAUCAUUGUCUAUAAAACAUUGAGUGUAUGUAUGUAGUUAAAUAUUAUUCUUUGCAUGGCCAUCAAACCCUUGUUUUGGCAUGAACUGGGAUUGAUUGUACAUGCCCCUGAGGAGGAAGAUGCUUAGAAAUGCCACUUUUGUGUUGCAAGGCCCUGUGUUACUUACAGCACAAAAUUAAGAUCUUUUUUUUUUUUUUUUGCUCUGUUCAGUCUCAGUAGGAUGAUAACAGUCAGUCAUCAAAAUUCAUGAGUUUUUCAGCAUAGUGAAAAACUAACACCCUCUCAAUGCAAAAAAUGCCUGAAAUCUGAUGGGCAGCGUAUUAGCAGUGUAUGAUGAUGAGAUAUACAUUCCAAAUUGAAUACGGAGUUUUCAUUUCUUAAUGACUUGAAAUGAUGCAAAUGGCAGCACUUGCAUUUGGUCCUAGCGUUUGGAGUGGGAAUGAUUUGGAUUUUGCAGUGUAUGUACCUAAUGCCCUUAUGAUGGUGAACUGAACUUCAAACACCUCUUUUUGCACGUAAACUCCCAGUGGCAGUUUUCGUUUUUACUGAUGUGUCUUUUCUAAAGAAUGCUAAACUUGAUAUCCUGUUUCAGAUUAACAGGUAUUUAUUGGGAGUAGUAUGAUAGAAGCAAAGAUUUUCUAAAAUUCAACCUUAAAAGUGCGCAUGUAAACUCAAUCAGAGCAGCAUUUAGAGCUUCUUGCCCCAGAUGUAAGGUGAAAAUAAGCUAGAAAAAAAACUUCUCUCUGGGACAUGGAUGUACAUGGUUUGUUACAUUCCUGAACCUACUAUGUAUGGUGCUUAUUGACUGUAUACUUUAUUUGUUCUCCUGUGUGGAAAAAAAAAAAAAAAAAAAAAACUGGCUCAAAAGAACACUUAAUGAGAACAAAGAGACAAUGUACAUUUGUUUAAUGUGACAUCAAAGCAAGUAUUGUAGCACUCUGUGAAACAAUAGGAAGCUUCCCUGUCCAAAAAAGAAAAAAAAAAAAAAAGAGAAAAAAACAGAAAAGAAAAAAGACAGUUGAAUGAAUGAAUGGAGGAUACCAAAAGUACCCAAAAACAUGACAAAAAUCUGAGUGAAUAGUGGAUUUCUGUCAGAGCAGUCAACGGUGCUUUACGUCAAGAAAUGUGCCUGCGUUCUUGAUGAAGAUGGAUGGACACUGAUGGACUUCAGGCACAAAAAAAGCAGGAAUGUAUGAAAUGAUCAAAUGCCACGCAAACACUAUAGAACAAUACAUCCUUGCUU